AAUCAACGCUGGCGGCGUGCCUAACACAUGCAAGUCGAGCGCGAAAGGGGGCAACCCCGAGUAGAGCGGCGAACGGGUGAGUAACGCGUGGGUGAUUUGCCUCCGAGUGGGGAACAACACCGGGAAACUGGUGCUAAUACCGCAUGACAUCCUCGGGUCGUACUGGGGAUCAAAGCUGGGGACCGCAAGGCCUAGCGCUUGGAGAGAAGCCCGCGUCCGAUUAGCUAGUUGGUGGGGUAANGGCCUACCAAGGCGACGAUCGGUAGCCGGCCUGAGAGGGCGGACGGCCACACUGGGACUGAGACACGGCCCAGACUCCUACGGGAGGCAGCAGUGGGGGAAUUUUUCGCAAUGGGGGAAACCCUGACGAAGCAACGCCGCGUGGAGGAUGAAGGCC
rnacentral:rRNA from 1 species